ensembl:snRNA U6 U6 spliceosomal RNA
UUUUAACUGGAACAACAGAGAAGAUCAGCACUGCCCUUGUGCAAAGAUAACACGCAAAUUCAAAAAGCAUUCCAUAAAAAA